rnacentral:rRNA from 1 species
UGAUUAAGCCAUGCAAGUCAAAUGUUUUUCGUAAACAUGGCGCAAUGCUCAGUAACACGUGGAUAACCUGCCCUUUGGUCCGGCAUAACCUCGGGAAACUGAGGAUAAUUCCGGAUAACUCUUUUUGGCCGGAAAGCAUUAAGAGUAAAAGAACUUCGCCAAAGGAUGGGUCUGCGGCCUAUCAGGUAGUAGUGGGUGUAAUGUACCCUCUAGCCGACAACGGGUACGGGUUGUGAGAGCAAGAGCCCGGAGAUGGAUUCUGAGACAUGAAUCCAGGCCCUACGGGGCGCAGCAGGCGCGAAAACUUUACAAUGCAGGAAACUGUGAUAAGGAAACACCGAGUGCUCACAUCAAAUGUGGGCUGUCCACAUACUUAAAUCGUAUGUGUUAGCAAGGGCCGGGCAAUACCGGUGCCAGCCGCCGCGGUAAUACCGGUGGCCCGAGUGGUAGCCGCUUUUAUUUGGUCUAAAGGGUCCGUAGCCGGUCCGGUCAGUCUAUUGGUAAAUUUGAAUGCCCAACAUUCAAUCUUUCAGUAGAUACUUCCGGACUAGGAACCGGGAGAGGUAAGAGGUACUGUAGGGGUAGGAGUGAAAUCUCGUAAUCCCUAUGAGACCACCUGUGGCGAAGGCGUCUUACCGGAACGGGUUCGACGGUGAGGGACGAAAGCCGGGGGCACGAACCGGAUUAGAUACCCGGGUAGUCCCGGCCGUAAACGAUGCUCGCUAGGUGUCGGGUAUGGCGUGACCGUAUCCGGUGCCGUAGGGAAGCCGUGAAGCGAGCCACCUGGGAAGUACGGCCGCAAGGCUGAAACUUAAAGGAAUUGGCGGGGGAGCA